AUUUAUAUAGUUUAAGUCAAAACCCCUUAUUUUCAAUAAGGAAACAAGAAUUUAUUUCUUUAUAAAUA
rnacentral:tRNA from 1 species